GACGAACGCUGGCGGCGUGCUUAACACAUGCAAGUCGUACGGUAAGGCCCUUUCGGGGGUACACGAGUGGCGAACGGGUGCGUAACACGUGAGUAACCUGCACACAACUUUGGGAUAACGCUAGGAAACUGGUGCUAAUACUGGAUAUGUGCUCCUGCUGCAUGGUGGGGGUUGGAAAGCUCCGGCGGUUGUGGAUGGACUCGCGGCCUAUCAGCUUGUUGGUGGGGUAGUGGCCUACCAAGGCGGCGACGGGUAGCCGGCCUGCGAGGGUGACCGGCCACAUUGGGGCUGAGAUACGGCCCAGACUCCUACGGGAGGCAGCAGGGGGGAAUAUUGCACAAUGGGCGCAAGCCGGAUGCAGCAACGCCGCGGGCGGGAUGACGGCCUUCGGGUUGUAAACCGCUUUCAGCAGGGACGAAGCUUUUUGUGACGGUACCUGCAGAAGAAGCACCGGCUAACUACGUG
rnacentral:rRNA from 1 species